GAUGAACGCUGGCGGCGUGCUUAACACAUGCAAGUCGAACGAAGCACUCUAUUUGAUUUUCUUCGGAAAUGAAGAUUUUGUGACUGAGUGGCGGACGGGUGAGUAACGCGUGGGUAACCUGCCUCAUACAGGGGGAUAACAGCUGGAAACGGCUGCUAAUACCGCAUAAGCGCACAGCAUUGCAUGAUGCAGUGUGAAAAACUCCGGUGGUAUGAGAUGGACCCGNGUCUGAUUAGAUACGUUGGCGGGGUUAACGGGCCCACCAAGUCGACGAUCAGUAGCCGGACUGAGAGGUUGAUCGGCCACAUUGGGACUGAGAUACGGCCCAGACUCCUACGGGAGGCA
rnacentral:rRNA from 1 species